ACCUCUGGCGGCGUGUUUUAACACAUGACAACUCGAACGAGAACGGGAUUAGCUUGCUAAUCUGUUAGCUAAGUGGCGCACGGGUGAGUAAUAUAUAGGUAACGUGCCUUCAAGAGGGGGAUAACAGAUGGAAACGUCUGCUAAAACCCCAUAUGCCUUUAAUACGAAAGUAUGCAAGGGAAAUAUUUAUAGCUUGAAGAUCGGCCUGUACAGUAUCAGAUAGUUGGUGAGGUAAUAGCUCACCAAGUCAAUGACGCUUAACUGGUUUGAGAGGAUGAUCAGUCACACUGGAACUGAGACACGGUCCAGACUCCUACGGGAGGCAGCAGUGGGGAAUAUUGCACAAUGGGGGAAACCCUGAUGCAGCAACGCCGCGUGGAGGAUGACACAUUUCGGUGCGUAAACUCCUUUUAUAUAAGAAGAUAAUGACGGUAUUAUAUGAAUAAGCACCGGCUAACUCCGUGCCAGCAGCCGCGGUAAUACGGAGGGUGCAAGCGUUACUCGGAAUCACUGGGCGUAAAGAGCGUGUAGGCGGAUAGAUAAGUCAGAAGUGAAAUCCAAUAGCUUAACUAUUGAACUGCUUUUGAAACUGUCUAUCUAGAGUAUGGGAGAGGUAGAUGGAAUUUCUGGUGU
rnacentral:rRNA from 1 species